UAGGGAAUAUUGCACAAUGGGCGAAAGCCUGAUGCAGCAACGCCGCGUGUGCGAAGAAGGCCUUCGGGUCGUAAAGCACUUUUCUGAGAGAUGAGAAAGGACAGUAUCUCAGGAAUAAGUCUCGGCUAACUACGUGCCAGCAGCCGCGGUAAAACGUAGGAGGCGAGCGUUAUCCGGAUUCACUGGGCGUAAAGCGCGUGCAGGCGGUUCGGUAAGUUGGGCGUGAAAUCUCCCGGCUCAACUGGGAGAGGUCGUCCAAUACUACCGGACUUGAGAGCGGUAGAGGAAGAUGGAAUUCCCGGUGUAGUGGUGAAAUGCGUAGAUAUCGGGAGGAACACCAGUGGCGAAGGCGAUCUUCUGGACCGUUUCUGACGCUCAGACGCGACAGCUAGGGGUAGCAAACGGGGAUUAGAGACCCCGGUAGUCCUAGCCGUAAACGAUGUGAACUUGGCGUCGGUGGGUUAAACUCCAUCGGUGCCGCAGCUAACGCGAUAAGUUCACC
rnacentral:rRNA from 1 species